GGUGAUUCCUUCCUGCACUUCGGGAUAAGCCUGGGAAACUGGGUCUAAUACCGGAUAGGACUAUGGUUUGGAUGCCAUUGUGGAAAGUUUUUCGGUGUGGGAUGAGCUCGCGGCCUAUCAGCUUGUUGGUGGGGUAAUGGCCUACCGAGGCGUCGACGGGUAGCCGGCCUGAGAGGGUGUACGGCCACAUUGGGACUGAGAUACGGCCCAG
rnacentral:rRNA from 1 species